UGGGGAAUAUUGGACAAUGGGGGCAACCCUGAUCCAGCGAUGCCGCGUGUGUGAAGAAGGCCUACGGGUUGUAAAGCACUUUCGGUGGGGAGGAGGGCUUGAUGGUUAAGAGCUGUUAAGUUGGACGUUACCCACAAAAGAAGCACCGGCUAACUCCGUGCCAGCAGCCGCGGUAAUACGGAGGGUGCGAGCGUUAAUCGGAAUUACUGGGCGUAAAGGGUGCGUAGGCGGUUUAAUAAGUUAAGUGUGAAAGUCCCGGGCUUAACCUGGGGAAGUCACUUAAGACUGUUAGACUGGAGUAUGGGAGAGGGUAGUGGAAUUUCCGGUGUAGCGGUGAAAUGCGUAGAGAUCGGAAGGAACACCAGUGGCGAAGGCGGCUACCUGGCCCAAUACUGACGCUGAGGCACGAAAGCGUGGGGAGCAAACAGGAUUAGAUACCCCUGUAGUCC
rnacentral:rRNA from 1 species